rnacentral:rRNA from 1 species
AAGCUCGUAGUUGAAUUUCGGGAUUAGUACGUCGGUCGUACCUUAGGUACGUACUGGUGUUACUGGUUCCUACCUUCUGACGAACCAUCAUGUCGUUAAUUUGGUGUGGUGGGGAAUCAGGACUGUUACUUUGAAAAAAUUAGAGUGUUUAAAGCAGGCUCGCGCUUGAAUACAUUAGCAUGGAAUAAUGAAAUAGGACGUUGAUCCUAUUUUAUUGGUUUCUAGGAUUGACGUAAUGAUUAAUAGGGAUAGUUGGG